UGGUGUUGCAAAUCCAAAGCUAGCAUUUGGAAGCAACUAAUUAAGAACACAAAAUAGGAGAGGAAAAAAGAAAAAAAAAUGGGUAGUUGUCAUUUGUUGCACUUGCCAUUAGGGGAGUGCAUCACAACAUUCAAUCUAGAGGAUGCCGUGUGCAACCAUGGCUUUUUCAUGAUGGCUCCAAACUCAUGGAUUCCAUCUACUAAAACUCUUCAACGACCAUUACGACUUGCAAACUCCACCACCUCUGUCAUGGUUUCUAUCUCACACCCUCCAAACAAUAGCUCUAUUCUUAUUCAAGUUCAUGAUGUCCAAAAUGUUUCUCUUGAAGACGAGAAAGCUAUACUUAAACAAGUGGGUCGGAUUCUAAGGAUAUCAGAAGGAGAUGAAAGGAACGUGAGGGAGUUUCAAAACAUGCAUCCAGAAGCAAAGAAGAAAGGUUUCGGUCGACUUUUUCGUUCUCCCACACUCUUUGAAGAUGCUGUUAAGUCCAUCCUUCUUUGCAACUGCAAGUGGACGAGGACAUUGGAUAUGGCUAGAGCUCUAUGUGAACUUCAAGCAGAGUUAGCUGAUGGCUGGAACAGUGAAAAUAUAGUCAAACAUCCCAAAAAGAAAGGGUUAAAGAGAAAGAAAUUUGCUCGAAAACAAAGUAAGGUCAACAAAUGUGUGGAUGAGAACAGUGAAAAUUCACAACUUCUAGAAGGCAAUAAUAUUAAAGUUAAGGCAUUAGGGAAUUUUCCAAGCUCAAAAGAACUAGCUACCCUUACGACGGGUUACUUGAAAAAACGUUGCAAACUUGGGUAUAGAGCAUGUCACAUUUUUGAACUUGCUGAACGUGCAGAGGAAGGAAAGCUUAAGCUUAAGCUCAAGAAAACAUCCAGCUAUGAGGAAAUAUUUGACAAAUUGAGUAAAAUCAAAGGCUUUGGUCCUUAUGCAUGUGCCACACUAAUGAUGUGCAUUGGAUUUUAUCAAAUGGUCCCGAUGGAUACUGAAACAAAGCGACAUUUACAACAGGUUCACAAGACAAAGAAAGAGAAUGCCAAAGAAGAUGUCAAACGUAUUUAUGGCUUGAGUUAUUGGAGUACUAUGAAAUAAAGUUUGGAAAGCUAAGCAUGUUGCCAAACUCUAGUUAUCAUAUUGUUACUGGCAGCUAGACUUAGUGCCAGUGGAUCUUCUAAUGUGAAGCCAGCAUCAAGUAAUGAUAAAACUAUAUAAGUAAUUUUGAAUGAAAUAAUACCCAGGAAGGACAUGCAAAGGCGUGAAGAUACUCUCUCCACUCUUAAAGCCAUGCAAGAGCAAACUCCUACUCCUACAUUGGAGCGGGACAUUUCUCUCCUUGAGAAAGAAAUAGAGUUUUGUAUUCACAGGAGAAGCUUUGUUAUGAAGCUCAUAUUCUUAGAAUUGAGCUAUGUCACAGUUUGGUGUUUUCAGUUAGGGUCUUGAGAUCUCGGAAUUGUGACUAACCCCUCAAGCUAAAGAGGUUAUAAGCUGGCUAUAGUGUGCCUACUUUGAUAGUUGGCACUAAUAUUAUAAGUGACAGAUUAUAAACUGAAAAUUUUAAGAAUUGAACUCCUUAGGACCUCUCAUUGCUGAAGCAUAAAUCAUACAUAACAUGCCACUAGAUCAAAUGUCUAGUAGUUCAACCUCGAUCAUCUAAGUACCUAACCAUCUUAGCCAUUUGAUGUCUGUUGGUUUGACUCCCAACAUACUUUUAUUAUUCAUUUACAAAUUAAAACCAAAUGUCGAAAAUUCAAAAUCCAUUGAAUAGCUAAAAGAGCAUUUGCAUGUAUUGUGAAUCCAACUCCAACAGAAAGAUAAGGAAUAAUCAAUAAAGAGUGAUGCAUUCAAUCACCAGUUUCUGAUAUUUGGAUGGAUUUGGAUCUAUUGGAUCUAAGAUAUUUCUGAUAAUAAAGCCUCACUUUUCCUGCUGAAGAUAGAGUCCAACAUAAAAACUAACCAUAUUUGAUUUGAUAUCAGUGAAGUUGCAUUAGUCACUAGAAUUUUAGUCUAUGAUAUUCUCGUUCUUUGAAGUAUAAACUUAUUACUUAUAAGAUGCCCUU